GACGAACGCUGGCGGCGUGCUUAACACAUGCAAGUCGAGCGGUAAGGCCCUUCGGGUACGACGAGCGGCGAACGGGUGAGUAACACGUGGGUGACCUGCCCUCCACUCUGGGAGUAAGCCCGGGAAACUGGGUCUAAUACCGGAUAUGACCUCUGGAUGCAUGUCUGGUGGUGGAAAGUCUGUGUCUUUGGAUGCUGGCGGUGGGGGAUGGGCCCGCGGUCUAUCAGCUUGUUGGG
rnacentral:rRNA from 1 species